rnacentral:rRNA from 1 species
AUUGAUCGCUGGCGGCAUGCCUUACACAUGCAAGUCGAACGGCAGCACGGGAGCAAUCCUGGUGGCGAGUGGCGAACGGGUGAGUAAAGUAUCGGAACGUGCCCAGUCGUGGGGGAUAACGUAGCGAAAGUUACGCUAAUACCGCAUACGAUCUAUGGAUGAAAGCGGGGGAUCGCAAGACCUCGCGCGAUUGGAGCGGCCGAUAUCAGAUUAGGUAGUUGGUGGGGUAAAGGCUCACCAAGCCGACGAUCUGUAGCUGGUCUGAGAGGACGACCAGCGACACUGGGACUGAGACACGGACCAGACUCCUACGGGAGGCAGCAGUGGGGAAUUUUGGACAAUGGGCGAAAGCCUGAUCCAGCCAUGCCGCGUGCAGGAUGAAGGCCUUCGGGUUGUAAACCGCUUUUGUACGGAACGAAAAGGUUUGGGCUAAUAAGCUGAGCUCAUGACGGUACCGUAAGAAUAAGCACCGGCUAACUACGUGCCAGCAGCCGCAGUAA